rnacentral:rRNA from 1 species
ACCGUACUCCUACGGGAGGCAGCAGUGGGGAAUUUUGGACAAUGGGGGCAACCCUGAUCCAGCAAUGCCGCGUGAGUGAAGAAGGCCUUCGGGUUGUAAAGCUCUUUUGACAGGGAAGAAACGGUAGUAGCUAAUAUCUAUUACUAAUGACGGUACCUGAAGAAUAAGCACCGGCUAACUACGUGCCAGCAGCCGCGGUAAUACGUAGGGUGCAAGCGUUAAUCGGAAUUACUGGGCGUAAAGCGUGCGCAGGCGGUUGUGUAAGUCAGAUGUGAAAUCCCCGGGCUCAACCUGGGAGUUGCAUUUGAGACUGCACGGCUAGAGUGUGUCAGAGGGGGGGAGAAUUCCACGUGUAGCGGUGAAAUGCGUAGAUAUGUGGAGGAAUACCGAUGGCGAAGGCAGCCCCCUGGGAUAACACUGACGAUCAUGCACGAAAGCGUGGGGAGCAAACGGGAUUAGAAACCAGAGUAGUCCUUGAC